GGGCCGGUAGAUCAGCCCGGCAGAUCGCCUCGCUUGCAACGAGGAGGCCGCGGGUUCAAAUCCCGCCCGGUCCA
rnacentral:tRNA from 2 species